UUGCUCUUCCUUUUCUUCCCCUUUUCUCUCACUCGCCUUCCUCUUCUUUUCCCUCCUGUCUUUCCUCUUCCUUCUUUCUUCCGUUUCUUUUUCUCUCAUUUGCUUUCUUCCCUUUCUUUCUCUUUCCCUCCCUCCUGCUAGUCUCUUCCUUCCGCCCCUUCUUCCGUCUAUCCUUCCCUUCCCUCCGCCUCUCUUCUCUGUCUUGGCUUCGGUAGAUCAGAGGAAAGAGGAACAAUGAAAAAAAGAAUGAAAUGUGAAAAAAAAUCCAUUCCCUUCUUUCUAUUGCAACAGUAACAAGACGAAGAGGUGAGGAAGGAAAGUGGAAUCAUUCUUCGCUCUCUUUUUUGAAAUAGUAAAGAAAACAAACACUAUUUCGAGGGUAAUCUAAAGGAAUGUGAGAAUUAUACGGUGACGCGAGGGACUGGGAAAUGGAAAAGAUGGUGAGAAUAUUGAGAACAAGGUUGAGUUAGACAUUUUUAGGAAGUCGGAAUGGAAGAAAACAAGCGAAAAUAAAUAACGUAUCUUCAAGGAAAUGGAAAAGAUGGUGAGAAUAUUGAGAACAAGGUUGAGUUAGACAUUUUUAGGAAGUCGGAAUGGAAGAAAACAAGCGAAAAUAAAUAACGCAUCUUCAAGGAAAUGGAGAGGAUGAUGACUGUAGAGAACAAGAUUGACAUGGACAUUUUUAGGAGCAGCUGAAGUGAAAGAAAAAUGUCAAGUGGAAAUAAAAUGCAUCUUCAAGGUAUAGCGUGAGUUAGGAAAAGGUGGAACGGUGCGAGACGUAAAAAAAGUGGGAGAUAAGAGUGAGCUUAGGUUAAUAGGCCUUGCCGGGAACACUUAAAAGAACGGAAAGAGAGAGAAAAGAAAUGGAGAGAAAAAGGAAAAAAAAAACUUAAGGGGAGAAAAAUACUGAAGAGAGAAUAAUAGGAAAAACUGAAGGGGAGGAAAAUGCAGAGGAGAGGAAAAAAGGAAAAACUGAAGGGGAGGAAAAUAUGGAGAAAAGAGAAAAAAGGAAAACUGGAGGAAAGGAAAAUACGGAAUGGAGAGAAAAAAAGGAAAAACUGGAGGAGAGGAAAAUAUGGAGAGGAGAGAAAAAAAGGAAAAACUGGAGAAGAAAAUAUGGAGAGGAGAGAAAAAAAGGAAAAACUGGAGGAGAGGAAAAUAUAGAAGAGAAAAAAGGAAAAAUAUAGAGGAGAGAGAAAAAGGAAAAAAAAACGAAGGGGAGAAAAAAAAUAUAGAGAAGAAAGAAUCAAAGUAAAAAAUACUUACCUGAAAAAAAAAUAAGGAAAGGAAAGAAAAAUAAAUACAGAAAAGGGAGAAGAUAAAAUAUUGCUUGCAAGUCAAAAGGAGGAAAACAGGAAAAAAACAUAGAGAGGAAAAAAAGUACAGUGAAAAAAGGCGUGCGAGGAACAGCUGAAAGGAAGAAAAAAGGAGGAAAAAAGAAAAAAAAAGAAAGACUGUCCAGGAAAAGUGAAGGGAAGAGAAAGAAACGAGUAAAGAAAUAAAAGACAAAACUGCGGUAAAAAAAGACUUGGCAGGAAGAGUUCAAGUGGAGAAAAGAAGAAAAAAGAAAAAUACAGGAAAAAAGAGAAAAGUCGUGCCCGUAACAGUCGAAGAAAAGUAAAGAACAGGUGAAUGAACUAAGCGUGGGCAGGAAAAAUCAGAUAAAGAAGAAAAAGAAGUACUGAGAAAAAAGAAUGAUAAAAAUAUAUAAAUAAAUACAAUCUAGUUAUAGUGUCAGUAAACCAGACGGAGCCGGGAACACUAAAAGAAAAAAAGUAUAGAGAAAAAGAAAAAAAGAAAAAAGAAAAACAAUCUAAAUAUACAGUGAAUGAACCAGACGGAGCCGGAAACAAUAACAUAAACAAAAUAAAAACAAUAGAAAAAAAGAAUAGGAAAUGAGAACGAAUGGAUGAAAAAAAUAUAAAUGAAUGAAUUGGACGAAGCCGGAAACAGUAAAACAAAACAAAAGUAUAGACAAAAAGAAAAAGAAAGAAAAAGAAAUGAUUAAAACAGUAAAAAAUGUAAGUGAAUGAACCGGACGAAGCCGGAAACAAUAAGACAAAAGAAAAGUAUUGACAAAAAGAAAAAGAAAGAAAAAAAGAAAAAAAAAAGAUUAAAAAAGUAAAAAAAAUGUAAGUGAAUGAACCGAACGAAGCCGGAAA